rnacentral:lncRNA from 1 species
AAUAGAAAUGUGUACGUGUUGAUUCCACCCAAACCUUUCCGAAGCGGACCCCCUCUUAAUAGUACGACUUUCCUACGACUCAAAUCCACCAAAGAGAAACGUAGAAAGCAACCGUAUUUGAAAGACUCCGAGGGGCCUCGAAUCGUCUUGUGCCUAGUCAUGAAUUAUCUAAAAUGCUCAAUGCACACGAUUAGUUCGCACACGCAUUGUCAUCAAUCACCAAAACCACUUACGGAGAAAUAUGCCCUAACAAUCUCCCCCUUUUUGGUAGAUUGAUGACAAUAUAGGAUUUGCACUAAAGGAUAUAGAAAUAGCAUAUGCAAACCCAAAAUCUACAAACUAGAGAUAGGCUCCCCCUAGAUGUGUGCAUACUUUGGAAAAAGGAUAUGGACUGCCCAGCACACAACCAAAGAAAAGCACUCCCCCCGGAUUUUAUAGACGAGGGAAUCCUUGCAACAAACUUAAUAAACACUAAGCAUGGAAGCAAGGCAUAGCAUGUGAGCAUGAAGAUAAGGGCACAUAAUAAUUAGACUCACAUGCUACUAAUAAACUAGAUAAUAAUGAGAGAAUAAAGAUAGAUGAGAGAUAGCAUAUGUCUCACACCAUAUGAUAAAGUACGAUGUCUCUUGGUCUCACACACAAAGCAAGGACAACCAAAGUAGCAAUGAAAGUUCAACAAAUAAAGCAACAUAGAAAACGAGGAAACUCGCAAAUCCUAAACUCUCUCCCCCUUUGGCAUCGGGACACCAAAAAGGCAGAUACGACACCUACAACACAGGUGGUAGCUCGAACUGGAGAGGACUCAGCCAUCAGACUCCUCAACAUACUCCUCAUUAGUCUUGUCUUUUGUCUCCUGAUACGUCUCCAACGUAUCUAUAAUUUUUGAUGGUUUCAUGCUAUUAUCUUGUCAAACUUUGGAUGUUUUGUAUGCCUUUUAUAUCUUUUUUGGGACUAACUUAUUAACUCAGUGCCAAGUGUCAGUUCCUGUUUUUUCCGUGUUUUUGACCCUUUUCAGAGGAGGAUUUUAAACGGAGUCCACACGGAACGAAACUUCCAAAAAGAUUUUUUCCAAAAUAGAAGACGAUCGGGGAACUUGAGAACCAAGGCAGGGGACACCAGGGACCCCACAAGCCCCCUAGCCGCGG